GAUGAACGCUGGCGGCGUGCCUAAUACAUGCAAGUCGAGCGAACGGACGAGAAGCUUGCUUUUCUGAUGUUAGCGGCGGACGGGUGAGUAACACGUGGAUAACCUACCUAUAAGACUGGGAUAACUUCGGGAAACCGGAGCUAAUACCGGAUAAUAUUUUGAACAGCAUGGUUCAAAAGUGAAAGACGGUCUUGCUGUCACUUAUAGAUGGAUCCGCGCUGCAUUAGCUAGUUGGUAAGGUAACGGCUUACCAAGGCAACGAUGCAUAGCCGACCUGAGAGGGUGAUCGGCCACACUGGAACUGAGACACGGUCCAGACUCCUACGGGAGGCAGCAGUAGGGAAUCUUCCGCAAUGGGCGAAAGCCUGACGGAGCAACGCCGCGUGAGGGAUGAAGGUCUUCGGAUCGUAAAACUCUGUUAGUAGGGAAGAACAUAUGUGUAAGUAACUGUGCACAUCUUGACGGUACCUAAUCAGAAAGCCACGGCUAACUACGUG
rnacentral:rRNA from 1 species